UACGGAGGGGGCUAGCGUUGUUCGGAAUUACUGGGCGUAAAGCGCGCGUAGGCGGAUCUGCAAGUCGGGGGUGAAAUCCCGAGGCUCAACCUCGGAACUGCCUUCGAUACUGCGGGUCUCGAGUCCGGGAGAGGUGAGUGGAAUUCCUAGUGUAGAGGUGAAAUUCGUAGAUAUUAGGAAGAACACCAGUGGCGAAGGCGGCUCACUGGCCCGGUACUGACGCUGAGGUACGAAAGCGUGGGGAGCAAACAGG
rnacentral:rRNA from 1 species